GACGAACCGUGCGAACGUUGUUCGGAAUCACUGGGCUUAAAGGGCGCGUAGGCGGUCCGACAAGUCAGGGGUGAAAUCCUGCAGCUUAACUGCAGAAGUGCCUCUGAUACUGUCGGUCUUGAGGGAGAUAGGGGUGUGCGGAACUUCCAGUGGAGCGGUGAAAUUCGUAGAUAUUCGCAAGAACACCAGUGGCGAAGGCGGCUCACUGGCCCGGUACUGACGCUGAGGUGCGAAAGCGUGGGGAGCAAACAGG
rnacentral:rRNA from 1 species